rnacentral:rRNA from 1 species
CAGCGCCACGGGAAUACAGAGGGUGCAAGCGUUAAUCGGAAUUACUGGGCGUAAAGCGCGCGUAGGUGGUUUGUUAAGUUGGAUGUGAAAGCCCCGGGCUCAACCUGGGAACUGCAUCCAAAACUGGCAAGCUAGAGUACGGUAGAGGGUGGUGGAAUUUCCUGUGUAGCGGUGAAAUGCGUAGAUAUAGGAAGGAACACCAGUGGCGAAGGCGACCACCUGGACUGAUACUGACACUGAGGUGCGAAAGCGUGGGGAGCAAACAGGAUUAGAUACCCGAGUAGUCCCUGUCUCUUAUACA